rnacentral:lncRNA from 1 species
AAGCUUAAUCUUCCUCCCAUUGCCUCCAUCCUGGAUUAACUCUUUUUCCAAAAAAAUGGUAUAAUGGCUCACAAUCACAUUGUGAUCCUAAAAGACCUAGCCUCUAACUUAUCUGCCUGUUGUUGCUUGACAUAGGCCGGACAUCACCAAAUCUUGAGAUAACCAAGAGUUGACUUCUUACCAUGCCAUAACUCAUAUGGUAUGGUAGGAAUGAAUUUAGAGAAAAUUCUAUUCAAUAGAUGGAUUACUGAAAGUAACACAUGUUCCCA